rnacentral:rRNA from 1 species
AUACGGAGGGUGCAAGCGUUAAUCGGAAUUACUGGGCGUAAAGCGCGCGUAGGCGGCUUGGUAAGUCGGAUGUGAAAUCCCCGGGCUUAACCUGGGAAUUGCAUUCGAUACUGUCAGGCUAGAGUGUGAUAGAGGGAAGUGGAAUUUCCGGUGUAGCGGUGAAAUGCGUAGAUAUCGGAAGGAACACCAGUGGCGAAGGCGGCUUCCUGGACCAACACUGACGCUGAGGCGCGAAAGCGUGGGGAGCAAACAGAAUUAGAAACCCUAGUAGUCC